UACGUAGGGGGCAAGCGUUGUCCGGAUUUAUUGGGCGUAAAGAGCGUGUAGGCGGCCGUACAGGUCCGCUGUGAAAACUCGAGGCUCAACCUCGAGACGUCGGUUGAAACCGUACGGCUAGAGUCCGGAAGAGGAGAGUGGAAUUCCCGGUGUAGCGGUGAAAUGCGCAGAUAUCGGGAAGAACACCCGUGGCGAAGGCGGCUCUCUGGGACGGUACUGACGCUGAGACGCGAAAGCGUGGGGAGCGAACAGG
rnacentral:rRNA from 1 species